AAUAAAAUAUUUUAAUCACAAUAUUGUAAAGAAAAUAUAACGAUAUAUACUAAAAUAUGAUAUAUAUAUAUAUAUAUAUAAAGUUUUUCAUGUAUUUGUGAGACAUAAUUGUGGGGAUCAAAGUGAAAGUAAAUACUCCAUCCGUUUCAUUUUAAUUGUCGUUCUAGGUUUAUGCACACAGAUUAAGAAAACAUAUGAUUUUGUGUAUUUCCAAAAUAAAAACACAAUUAUCUAUACCCCUAACCAUAUUUCAAUCAAUAGAAAAAUAAAGUGGAAAAUCUUAUUAAUAAAUUUUACAUUAAAAUUUUAAAACGACACUUAUUUUGAAAUGAAAUUUUUUCCCUACAAUGACAAUUAAAUCGAAACGGAAAGAGUAGUAUUUUGGGGAUUAACAAUGCCUCAAUAAAUUUUAGGGUGUACGAUUUGCAUCCUUUAAAAUUAAGGGAAUAAAAGGCUGUUGUAAUACAAAACCCCUUAAAAAUAAAGGAUAAGAAGCUGUUGGAAAUGCUCAUGCAGAACAAUCUUCUUAUAUAAUAAAUGAGACUUUAGUUUCUCCUUAUCCUUAUGAAGCCACAUCAUCAAUGAAGGAUGGACAUUUUCUGCGGCGUGGCGACUUCUUAAAAAAAAUUUCGGCAAGUUAUGUUUUCUAUUCGUGUGUUUAUGGGCCCAUUUUCUGUUUUCUUAUAUAUUCCUACGGGCCUUGCGAAUAUUUGAACAAGACCCAUUAAGUUUUAGGGUUUCCUCAUGAGUCUUCCACCUUUCGCUGCAGCAGCGGCGCGCCUCUUUGGAUCUCCGUCAACGACAGUGUAACGGCUGACGUUUGCAUAUUCAUCUGUCGUAUUAAAUUAAGCAUUUACGUCCGCCCCACUCCUAUCACUUUCUUAGGCAUUAAAUGUCAUCCUCACAGUCAAAGAUAAGCUUUACUCUGUCAACGGCGAGCUUUAUCAAUGGCGAAUUCGUACAUUCUUCUUGCUGACUUGAAAGCUGAACUUCGUUACUGUGGAUGUCAGGCCACUGAGGUUCUAGGAGGCAAGAAACUCAAUAAAGGCUCUAUGUGACUAAAAAAGUGAUAGCUCUGUUCUCAGUUAAGGCUCUGUUUUCUCCAUUUCUGGUUUUGACGUGGCACGGAGCAACAACAAUUUCCGAUUGUCUGACGCCCUGCCAAUCGUCCAAUGAAGAAACCACAAGGAGAAACAGCCUCUCACGAUGCCGACGACCAACUCCAGACACCGGACAGGGUAAAAAAGAAAAAAAAAAAAAAAAGCUUGAGAUGAUGAAUGGACAAUUAGUCACAGGGCGUGUUCAUCUUUGGUGACAAGGUGUACAACAAUCUUUCUCCAAUAUUUCUGUCUAUGAUCUAUGUUUAUUUCUUCUAUCAAUUUUUUUCUUUCAGUUUUGGCAAUCAUUGUUUGUAGGGUCUGAUUAGAGAACUCAGCUUCAGCUUGGUAACUCAGGAAAUUAAAGUUGUGUGUUGUCAUUAUACUACAUCUUUGGAAUUCUGUUCAUUGGCGUAAUUUUCUCUUACUCGGUGAUGAUAUCACGGUAUGUAGGAAAAAUGGGGGACAAGAAAAUGAAUGUACGGCUUCAUUGCAGGCUCUCCGUGUAGAUAAUGUUGAAGUCUCUGAAUAAGCCAACAAUAUCAAAGUAUGACCUACUACCCAGUGUUGUACCCGAAGCUCUUUAUUAGUCUUCACAAGCCAUUUUAGAUGACUUCUCUCGAAUGCCCCACCACUUGAGAAACGUCAAGUGAUCCUCAUGUUCAUGUUUAUUAGUCUCAAUUUUAUUUUUAAUGACCUUAAGGUGGAUAUUUUCUAGCUAUGAAAACGUUCAUGUUCUUUUGGUUUGGUAACGGAUUCGUCUAAAACCGAUACCAACUGAGCAGAUUCGCUUCUGUAACCACGACCAGCUUAUGGCAUUGGCAAAUACCACAACAGCUACCUCGUUUUGUUCUAA